rnacentral:rRNA from 1 species
GGGAAUGAUCUAAAUACCUUAAAGGCAGCAGAUCCCAUCUGAUCUUGGAAAGCUAAGCAAGAACAACCCUGGUUAGUACUUGGAUAGGAAACCACCAGUGAAUAUUAGAUGCUGUAGGCU